ensembl:lncRNA CD44-DT CD44 divergent transcript
AGGAACCAUGCCAGGACUUCUGAGGGAAGGAAGAGUGUUUGGGACUGAAAAAUCCUUGUCUGGAUCUAGUCCUCAGCCACUCAGAAGCUGGCAUGCCAUGACUCAAAGAGCCGCCCGUCUGGAAUGAAGACAGUGACCCGUAACUCCCACCUGAAGAGCAGGUGCUUGGAAAAUGCUGCCAGUCCGCAGGAAAAAGUUGUUACUGCUGCUGUCUGUGACCAAGAGGACACUUUAUUUCUUGAAACAACUGGGGGCAAACUGGCUCCCAGAUAAGGCUUCAGUCCCUACUCAUGUGAGGAAACCAGCCCUGGUAGGUUCCAUGCACAAGAAUACAGGACAAGGAGCAGCUUUUUUCACCUCAUGCAACCUCCAGGGAUUUCAGCUUCCUUUUCUUGGAGCAAGAAAGUGAAGUGACGUGGGGA